AGAUAUAAUUUCAGCUGUAAGAUAGCCAGCCCAGGUACAGCAGUGAACAACUUAGUACCCUGUCUUGCAUCAUGCUUUUCUUCAGA
rnacentral:sRNA from 1 species